GCGAAGAACCUUACCUGGUCUUGACAUCCACAGAACUUUCCAGAGAUGGAUUGGUGCCUUCGGGAACUGUGAGACAGGUGCUGCAUGGCUGUCGUCAGCUCGUGUUGUGAAAUGUUGGGUUAAGUCCCGCAACGAGCGCAACCCUUAUCCUUUGUUGCCAGCGGUUCGGCCGGGAACUCAAAGGAGACUGCCAGUGAUAAACUGGAGGAAGGUGGGGAUGACGUCAAGUCAUCAUGGCCCUUACGGCCAGGGCUACACACGUGCUACAAUGGCAUAUACAAAGAGAAGCGACCUCGCGAGAGCAAG
rnacentral:rRNA from 1 species